rnacentral:rRNA from 1 species
GCUGAAACCCGCCUCCAUGAAGUUGGAUUCGCUAGUAAUCGCGCAUCAGCCAUGGCGCGGCGAAUACGUUCCCGGGCCUUGUACACACCGCCCGUCAAGCCAUGGGAGCUGGGGGUGCCUGAAGUUCGUGACCGCAAGGAUCGACCUAGGGCAAAACCGGUGACUGGGGCUAAGUCGUAACAAGGUAAC